ACGAAGGUCACGUAACACUGGGCCGUAUACCUGCUUAUCAAAACAAUAAAGUCUGUAUAAAUGUUCAUCUGACUCGUGUCUCUCCACUUCCUGCCUCAAAAAAUCCCUCUGCAAUCAGCUCUGAGUUGUUCGCUUUGAUUUCCAGCCUUCUCCACUUCAGAAAACACUUCAGAUCCACCAAUCAGAGGCUCUGAAUCACCUUCCUGCCAUUUAAAACCUUUCCUGUUCUGUGGGAGAGGGCUGGUGGUCGACUGGGCGUCUGGAAGCACCAAAUCCCAACUUAUCUCUGAGUAAUAAUAAUGUUUUCUCUGACUUUGAUGAAGCUGACAAGCAGGUUCAUCUCUACUUGCUGGAGGGCUUUUCAUGGAUCAGUGCCAAGAAUAAAAGCUCAUUAAAUCAGAGCUUUUCACCGUUGUUUGAUGGAUUAACCUUCAAAAUGAAGCCAUUCAUGGAGAGAACUGAUGUCUUCAGCCUGAACUAACCACUGUCCUGCAGCUUCUUACUGGGAUUAAAUACAGUCCGAUGGAGAAAUCAAAGAUGGUUGAUAGUGAGGACAUCCAGCUCCAGCUGGGCAGGUGCAGGUAGUCUGCCUUCUAGAAAUUAGAUUUAUAUACUCCAUACUCAAUCAGUUCAUUUUUAAUUUUGGGUCAGACUUGACAGAAUUUAGCAGAUGUGGUGCCAAGUGUUUCAAAUUCUCUACAUUUCUGGAGCCGAACAAUUAAUCAAAGUGUUACUGAAAAAAUAUUGAUAACUAUAAACGUAUCACAACAUACCAUUAACAAUAAAGCACUGUGGUGUUACAGACAUGUUAUGGCCUACAAAUCAUAUUCUGCAGGUGUAAGGGAACAUGCUUAUUUGGUAUAGACCACAGCAAAAAUCUGUUUAAAUUAAAUUUCAAAAUUCCUACUCAAAUUGUGACUCGUAUAGCAGGUUACAGGGUGAUAAUUAACUUCAAAUCAAACACAGAAUUGGCCCAACCCAUUUGGGCGAUAUUGCAAAAUCGUGCUAUUGACAAGCCAACAGCAGGAGAUAGCAAGCAACACUGCAGCUCCAGCUCAACUAUGCUAACAUUAGUUAGCCAAGUCAGCUCAACCUCUGCCUAAAAUCACAGCUCCAGUGGCCACAGUUUUCUGUUCUAUUUGCAGCCGUUGUUAAGCUACCCUGAAAUAGAAAGCAACAGUUCUGAUUUGAAAAUGGCACCAAUCCCACAUAUCAUGCUGUUGAACCACCCUAAAUCACUGCAGCGCACUGUAGCCCUUCACCAAUUUAGCACAAGGCUGCACAUUCACUCACUAAAACUCCAGUCUGUAUUUACACAUUAUUUUUCCAGGUUACCUGAGCUGAUGCAGAACUUGCACAAUUUGGACUUUGAACACAUUUCUCUCCUCUAAACCCAACUGGUCGAGGCCGAUGGCUUCCUAGCCUGAGUGCAGUUUUUCCUCUCUACUGUCACCAAGUGCUGCUCAUGGUGGGAACUGUUUGGUUUCUCUGUAUAAUUUUAUAAAGGUUUUGACCUUGCUCAGUAAAGUCCCUUGAGAAAAUGGAUGUGAUGAUUUGGUGCUUUACAAAUAACACUGCACUGAAUUGAGAGAUAAUACUUAAAGUCUACUCUGAGAAGCUUAUCAAUGUGUUAUAUUGUCAUCUCUUCUCUUAUCUGGACUGUGGUGUUUGGACAGAGAGAGUCAGAGACUUUAGUAAGAAAAUAAACAAUAAAACAGAGGGGGAAAAUUUGCCAAGGAUGUAGAAAUUAUGCCCUUUCUUCCCCUCUUUUUCUUGCCUUCCUCCCCUGAUUUCUCCUGUCGCUCUCACUUCCUUUCUCUGAAUCUCCAGUUCAGACUACUUUCACACCUCAGUAAGCAAAGCAUUUCUGCUGUUAGCAAUCAUACCAUAUUUUCCCUGGAAAAUGUCUCCAGUUAUCUUUAUGCUUUCUGUUGUAAAUGUGAAUGGGUCCUUCAGGUAACACUCAGUGGGAACACAAGCAGCUUUUGUGUGGCUCACAGCAGUUCAUUUCCUCCAUUCUUCUCUGCACAGCGCUCAGUUAUGUAACAUGUCCUCAGGUUGGUCCUCAGGUUUUCUUCAGGACGGAUCCGAUCCAGUACCGGUCCUGUUUUGGCUCAAGAUCAUUGUCUUGUGGAAAAGGUUGAAAUUCUUGUUCAACUGGAGCAGCGGGAGGCUUCAUCCCGAAAUAACUCGGGGUCACCAUUUUGAUCAUUUCCCGUUUUUGUCCUGUGCAGAGCCGCUGUCCUCCCACACAGCCUGUACAAUACUGCAGCUACGUUUAUCUGGAAAUAAGACUAAAAUUCACAACACUUUGGUUUCACCAAACCAGGAGACGAUCGCCCACAUGGCUCUGAGGGACUGUGGGAAGUGGUUUUAGCUUUAAAUCAUACUAAUGAUUCAGUUUUAAUUGGUUCAAAUUCAAAUAUCUGAAGCCAAAAACUUAUAUCAAGAAUAUUUAAGCCAAUUAAAGAUCAAUCAUCCCUCAACUGUAUCACACCAAGGCCGAAGUGUCUCUCUUUCUGUAUCAACAACUUAAAGAAUUAAACUGCCCAUUUUCUGAACAAUGAGUGUAACUAUAAUAUUUUUCUUCCUAUAAUUUUCUUGACAGUAGGAAAACUGGUGAGAUGUCCUUCCACAGUCCUGUUGCAUAAUUCAGAAAGACUAGAUGUUCCUUGGUAGUGAAGAGAGCGUCUGUGUUACCAGCUGACGACGAUCACAGUCUGAAUGUUUCACACGAGGUGAUCAGAGGGAAAAACCUGCUUCACGUACUGAAAUUCAAAUUCUGU